rnacentral:rRNA from 1 species
AACGAACGCUGGCGGCAUGCCUAACACAUGCAAGUCGAACGAGACCUUCGGGUCUAGUGGCGCACGGGUGCGUAACACGUGGGAAUCUGCCCUUUGCUUCGGAAUAACAGUUAGAAAUGACUGCUAAUACCGGAUGAUGUCGAAAGACCAAAGAUUUAUCGGCAAAGGAUGAGCCCGCGUAGGAUUAGGUAGUUGGUGGGGUAAAGGCCUACCAAGCCGACGAUCCUUAGUUGGUCUGAGAGGAUGAUCAGCCACACUGGGACUGAGACACGGCCCAGACUCCUACGGGAGGCAGCAGUGGGGAAUAUUGGACAAUGGGCGAAAGCCUGAUCCAGCAAUGCCGCGUGAGUGAUGAAGGCCUUAGGGUUGUAAAGCUCUUUUACCAGGGAUGAUAAUGACAGUACCUGGAGAAUAAGCUCCGGCUAACUCCGUG